rnacentral:rRNA from 1 species
UACGUAGGGUGCGAGCGUUAAUCGGAAUUACUGGGCGUAAAGCGUGCGUAGGCGGUUCGUUAAGUCAGCUGUGAAAGCCCCGGGCUCAACCUGGGAACUGCGGUUGAAACUGGCAAACUAGAAUCUGGCAGAGGGGGGUGGAAUUCCACGUGUAGCAGUGAAAUGCGUAGAGAUGUGGAGGAACACCGAUGGCGAAGGCAGCCCCCUGGGCUGAGAUUGACGCUCAGGCACGAAAGCGUGGGGAGCAAACAGG